AGAAACCCUACAAAUGUGAAGAAUGUGGCA
rnacentral:piRNA from 1 species